rnacentral:rRNA from 1 species
UGGUUUUAUUACCGGAUGGUACCGCACCCUUAGGGUUUGGUGGAAAUUUUUUUGGGUGUGGGGAUGGGCCCGCGGCCUAUCAGUUUUUUGGUGGGGUAAUGGCCUACCAAGGCGGCGACGGGUAGCCGGCCUGAGAGGGUGGACGGCCCACAUUGGGACUGAGACACGGCCCAGACUCCUACGGGAGGCAGCAGUGGGGAAUAUUGCACAAUGGGCGGAAGCGUGAUGCAGCGACGCCGCGUGGGGGAUGACGGCCUUCGGGUUGUAAACUCCUUUCACCAUCGACGAGGGUUUUCUGACGGUAGAUGGAGAAGAAGCACCGGCUAACUACGUGCCAGCAGCCGCGGUAAUACGUAGGGUGCGAGCGUUGUCCGGAAUUACUGGGCGUAAAGAGCUCGUAGGUGGUUUGUCGCGUCGUCUGUGAAAUUCCGGGGCUUAACUCCGGGCGUGCAGGCGAUACGGGCAUAACUUGAGUACUGUAGGGGAGACUGGAAUUCCUGGUGUAGCGGUGAAAUGCGCAGAUAUCAGGAGGAACACCGGUGGCGAAGGCGGGUCUCUGGGCAGUAACUGACGCUGAGGAGCGAAAGCAUGGGUAGCGAACAGGAUUAGAUACCCUGGUAGUCCAUGCCGUAAACGGUGGGCGCUAAGUGUAGGGGUCUUCCACGACUUCUGUGCCGUAGCUAACGCAU